GGAUUCGAAUGGGGGAACCCUGACGCAGCAAUGCCGCGUGGAGGAUGAAGUCCCUUGGGAUGUAAACUCCUUUCGAUCGGGAAGAUAAUGACGGUACCGGAAGAAGAAGCCCCGGCUAACUCUGUGCCAGCAGCCGCGGUAAUACAGAGGGGGCAAGCGUUGUUCGGAAUUAUUGGGCGUAAAGGGCGCGUAGGCGGUGCGGUAAGUCACUUGUGAAAUCUCUGGGCUCAACUCAGAGUCUGCAAGCGAAACUGCCGUGCUUGAGUGUCGGAGAGGUAAGUGGAAUCCCCGGUGUAGCGGUGAAAUGCGUAGAUAUCGGGAGGAACACCUGUGGCGAAAGCGGCUUACUAGACGACAACUGACGCUGAGGCGCGAAAGCUAGGGGAGCAAACAGGAUUAGAUACCCUGGUAGUCCUAGCCCUAAACGAUGGAUGCUUGGUGUAGCAGGUACCCAAUCCUGCUGUGCCGGAGCUAACGCGUUAAGCAUCCCGCCUGGGGAGUACGGUCGCAAGGCUGAAACUCAAAGAAAUUGACGGA
rnacentral:rRNA from 1 species